UUCAAUGAGCUUUUAAGAAGCUGUGUAAUUAUACCUAUCCUGUUAAGUAAUGACUUUAGGUAGGCAAUUUAAUAGUACUAAUUAACUUGGGUACCUUUUGCAUCAGGGUUUAUCAAGAAAAUUGUGAAAAUUCACAUAUCCCGAAAAAUGGUUCGAGCUACUAAAUGCAAAAUAUUUAUCGUUGCAAAGCUAAAAAUAAGUGUUUGGUAGUUAUUAUAUGUUAUUCGUGGCAUUGGAUAUCUGGUUUGUCUUUAAAAAUAUUUAGUAUUGCUUUUUUAAAAAGUCACUUUUUUUGGGUUAAGCUAAAAAAAGAGAGCUAGACGUAUUACUAAUCUUUUUAUUUGAGUAGCCUUAAUAUUAGGCAUCCUGCUAGUUUGUGAUAAAUAAAAUAAAAAUUCUUCCGAGGAUAAUUUAAAUAUUUAUUGUCAUUUGGGUUAAAGAUAUAAAAACAAUUAGUUUUGUAAAAAUGAUAAAAUAAGUAGAGUUUUAUGUCUAUAAAGCAGUUAACUGUGUAAGGUAACUGUUAUAAAUAUUGUUUUUGGUUAAAAUUAAUUUUAAUGAACUCGGCAAAAAGUGUCCUCGACUGUUUAACAAAAACAUUUCCUUUUAAAAUUAAUUUAAGGUAGGCCCUGCCCGGUGCAUAUAGGGUGUAAACGGCGGUCUUAGCGUGAGGAUCUUAAGGUAGCACAACAAUUUGUCUUUUAAUUGAAGAAUGGUAUGAAAGGGUUAACGUGGGAUAAGCUGUGUCAAAAUAAUGUUAUCAAAAUUAAUUUUUGCGUGAAGAAGCGUGAAUUUCUUAGAGUGACGAUUAGACCCUAUGAAGUUUAACCUGAAGUUAUCCUAUGUGCCGGAAAGAUUGGAACAAGUUUUCUAAUAGAUUUCGGCAAACUASAAUGGUUUUGGUGGGGCCCCAGUCUUAGUAAGUGUAAGGCAUUGCACAGGUUUUGUGCUUUUGUAUUUUAAAGUGUUGUAAGUUUUUAAUAAUAACUUCUUACUUGAGUUAGCUAUAUUUUAUAAGUUUGAUAAACUACUCUAGGGAUAACAGCACAAUCCUCUUCGAUAGACGACAUUGAAAAGGGGGUUUGUGACCUCGAUGUUGGCUUUGGAUUACUUUAAGGCGUAGAAGCUUUAUAAGCGGGUCUGUUCGCCCUUUAAUUUCCAACAUGAGCUGAGUUCAGAACGGCGUGAGCUAGUUCAGUUUCUAUCUUCUAAUAAACCAUAGUGAAUUUUGUACGAAAGGACUUCUUCACUAAAGUGACUUUUUAAUCAAUAGAGUUUUGCACAGGUAUUGUUAUAAAGUGAUUUGCACUUUUUUGGAGAGCUCUCCACUGGGUAGUUUGGAACUAUUUAUUUUAGGUGUAGUAGUAGUUGUGGAUGUGGUUUUGGACUCUGAAGUUCAUACAAUUAUGAUCAUAAUUUUUCUAUAAACUUAUAUAUAUAUGUAUAUAUAAGAGUAGCUAUACGUGUAUUAUAUAUUUAUGAUAGUAACAUUUCUUAUCAUUUAAGGCCUGUUCUAACAGAAGGUUACAACUGCCUGUUAAGAUGAAGCUUAUUAGCCUGGCAAGCAACCGCUAUCAGAAAUUAUCUGUUUUAAUGUCAUUUUCAGGCUUAUGAAUCUGUUUUUAAACCUAACUUUUUAUUCUAGAAUUUUUUCUUUAGUUGUAUGUUUGAUGUUAGUUAGU
rnacentral:rRNA from 1 species